rnacentral:lncRNA from 1 species
UGGAAUUUCGGAAAAAACAUCCCCACUACGCCUCCAACUCGGGAAAUGGAUCACUUUGACCAUUGUGCCAAGUAAUUUUUCUUAGUUUUUUAACAGUUUAAAAUACGGUAAUUAAUUUUUGCACUUCAAUUUUUUUAAUUUUACCUUUAAAUAGAGUGCAAGAAAUUAUAAAAUAAGGUAAUUAAUUUUCGCACUUUCAUUUUUAAUUUCUACACUUUUUAAAUAGGAGUGCAGAAAUUAAUACCUGCACUCUUAUUUUGGAGUGUAGAAAUCAAAAAUGGGAGUACUAAAAUCACUUCCCUAAAAUAAUUAUAUUAUUGGUUUAUUUUAAAACUUAUUUAUAAUUGCAUCUUCAUACACAAAAGUUAUGAUACAAGGUCCUUUGACAAGUUAAGGCUGAUAUGCUAGUUUUAUUGUUUAUUAUAAAUUUUAAAAACAUCAUAAAUUUUAUGGACAAAAUGAUUUUUUAAAAAUUAUACUUUUUAUAAUAUUUUCAAUAAAAUCUAUUUAUUUUAAAUAAGAUCAUAUCGAAUAUGAAAUUAUGAACAAUAAAAAAAUAUUUUUUACCAUAAAAUUUAAUAGUGAUAAUUUAUUCAAUUAUUAAAUAUUUAUUUUUUUAUAGAUUUUCUUUGGUAGGCCAUCAUAAUUUAUUUUGGCAUAUAAUUUAACAGUUAGUGAUUAUAUUUUUAUAUAUUGAAUAGAUUUUAAAAUUUGAUAUUGAUAAAUGUUAUCGGGCUUUGUGUUUUUACAGUGGCGAUACAACUUGAAUGCAUUUUAGUUAACAGUAAUAAAUUAUCAGUAUGUAUUAUUAAGAUGACUUUCCAUAAUAUUUGAUUAACAAAAAUUUAAAUGAGAAAAAAAAUUAUCAAAAUGAUAUACAUUUAAAAUCUAAUUCAAGAAUUAUGUAAUCAUAAGUAAUAUGAUAAAUUUAUGAUCGUAAAACAAAAGCACUUGCCAAAAAAAAAAAUAGAAUCUCAAUUCUAACUUUGAACACCAACAAAAAAAACCCACUAAAAAUUUUCCAAGUCUUGCCUUGGGAUAUAUUGGCAAUAAACGUCUAGGCAGACCCUGAAUGUUUAGUUGAUUUGGACAUGGGUAUUGGACUCCUAUAAGUUUAAUUAAUGGGUCUUAAAUAUAAGUGCUUCUUUUAACUUAGAUCCAGUUUAACGUUUGAGCUAAUUUAUCUGUAUUCAUAAAAUGUGAGCUAAAAUUUUAUACUUUUUCAGUUCAUUUGAAUGAGAGAAAUUUAAUAUAUAAAGACGUUAAUCAAUUUAAGAAAAAAACACUAAACACAUGAAAACUCUUAUUUGUUGGGGAAAAAUAUGAUUUUUUGAGUGAUUUUUUUUCUCAAAUUAGAUCAAAAAAAUUAUAUUUUAGUUUCCUCUUUGUAAGGGACCUGAAAAAUAAAAUUUUGAUUAAUAGUAAAAAAAAUCAUUAAAUAAGAAAAAAUACGCAAACCAAAAUAACUAAACUAACUCGAUAGUGAUAACAAUAUAAUUUAUUAUAAAAAAUUAUCCACAUAGAUUCACAUAUUUUAAUCCACUAGUCAAUUCAGCACUUAAAACAACUUGUUUGAUAACUCAAUUUAAUACUUAAAUAUGAAUCUAUUAAGUGAAUCUAAAUUAAGUUAUUUUGAUAAUAAUAUUGUGCGCCACUUAAUAUUUUAAGUGUCUCUUAAAAUAUAGACUAAAAAUUUAUAAAAAUUUAAGUAACAAGAUACCUACUCAAUUAUGACUUAAUUUUAAAAUAUAUGUGCAUAGGCACAGACGUGUACAAAUAUAACUCCAUUGCUUCCACCACCGCCACCACCACCUUCUCCCUUCCACCACCACCAUCACUGCUACCGCUACCUCCCCAACCCCUGUGUCUCCCGUCCCACAUCGAUGAGUUAAAACUAUUAGCAUGAUACAUAAUGAGUUUUGUAAAAUACUAUUAACAAUUUGAGUUUAAGUAUUUCAGUCAUGUGAUUAAACCUAUCAAGUUGUUGGGUCAGCGCUUAUGUUUUUUGUUUAAAUUGGGGGUUGAAAUAAUGAAAGAAAAUAGGGAAAAAGAACAAAGUAAAAUAAGUUUAAAAGUUUCAUUUUUCUUAUGUUGGGCAGUAAAACGAGAGAACGCAAUUAGUUUUUGGUCAAAAAAAUUCCUUUUUUCCCGGUACCUAUAAAAAGAAUUUUUUAAAAUUAUUGAAUCUCUUUUUAUUUUAUUAUUUGUUCUCAACAUAAAAUCCAUGAUUCAAAAUUUCGAACAUAUCAAUGUGUAUCUAAUAUUUUGGCUAAGCUGAUGUGCUUUUCUUUUGGUAUCAUUUUAUAAGAAUUUAAUUAUAACGAAUUAAACUCGAGAUUCAAUUUUAUAAUUAAAUUAUAGGAUUUAAUUUGUUACUUAGGUUAAAUCUUUUUUUUUUUUGUAAUUCCCCCCUUUUUUAAUCCAGUUCCCGUUAUGAAGAUAGCCCAAGCCCAUUAAUCAACGUGGGUGGGCGAUUCAGUUCACACUUCUCCAGGCCCAU